AUACUUAACCUGGCAGGGGAGAUUCCAUGAUCACUAAGGUAGUUUUUCCAGGGUGAGGCUUGGCUUAUCCAUUGCACUCUCGCUCUGUUGAUCCCUGUGAUUUCCCCAAAUGUGGAAGACUUGACUGCAUAAUUUGUGGUAGUGGGAGACUGUUAUUUUUGCUUUUUCCUG